AGAGUUUGAUCCUGGCUCAGGACGAACGCUGGCGGCGCGCUUAACACAUGCAAGUCGAGCGAGAACCAGGGCUUCGGCCCCGGGGAAAGCGGCGAACGGGUGAGUAACACGUGGGUAAUCUGCCCUCGGUACUGGGAUAGCCCGGGGAAACCCGGAUUAAUACCGGAUGGCCCUUCGAAUUUUCGGAUUCGACGGAAAAGGUAGCUUCGGCCUCCGACCGAGGAUGAGCCCGCGGCGGAUUAGCUUGUUGGUGGGGUAACGGCCUACCAAGGCGACGAUCCGUAGCUGGUCUGAGAGGACGAUCAGCCACACUGGGACUGAGACACGGCCCAGACUCCUACGGGAGGCAGCAGUGGGGAAUCUUGCCCAAUGGGCGAAAGCCUGAGGCAGCGACGCCGCGUGCGGGAAGAAGGCCUUCGGGUUGUAAACCGCUUUCAGGAGGGACGAAGCCACUCGGGUGAAUAGCCCAGAGGGUGACGGUACCUCCAGAAGAAGCCCCGGCUAACUACGUGCCAGCCGCCGCGGUAAUAC
rnacentral:rRNA from 1 species